UACGUAGGGUGCAAGCGUUUGUCCGGAAUUAUUGGGCGUAAAGAGCUCGUAGGCGGCUUGUCGCGUCGGCUGUGAAAACCUGGGGCUCAACCCCGGGCCUGCAGCCGAUACGGGCAAGCUAGAAUUCGGUAGGGGAGACUGGAAUUCCUGGUGUAGCGGUGGAAUGCGCAGAUAUCAGGAGGAACACCAAUAGCGAAGGCAGCUCGCUGGGACGUUUACUGACACUGAGGCGCGAAAGCGUGGGGAGCGAACAGG
rnacentral:rRNA from 1 species